rnacentral:lncRNA from 1 species
GUUGUUCAUGGUCAUGUCCGGCACCCCGGGGCCCCUGCACCGUCAGCCCUUCCAGCAGCGUGGGGGCAGCUCCUGCGGCUCCUGGUUCCCGUGACCCCGCUGCACGCCCCCGCCAGGCCCCGCUCCCCCAGCCGCCUCGCCCGGGUUCCGGGGACCCACCUGGCACCACCCGCCCCCGGGUGCAGGCCGAGCGCGUCCACGCGUGCAGCAUCCUCGCUUUCACGCGCCUGGCCCUGUGGAGGGCGGCUUGAGGACGCGAAGUCGACAAAGGGCCACAGGCGGCCAGCGAGAGGAGCCUGGGAGCGAGGCCUCGGUCACCCGAGUCGCGGCCAGCCCUGGGGGCGGGGCGGGCCGUGGGCUCGGCCUGGGAUUGGGCAGCUGGCCGGAAGGGGCGGGACUUCCGGGGGGCGCCAAAUUGCCGAGAGCUGGCGCUGCGGCCGCGGACAUGCUGCCGGCCGGCUGCUCCCAGCGGUGAGGCCCACGCGCGGGAGGGAGCGGGCGUGGGCGGGCGGGGGCCCGAGGCCGGCCCGGGCGCUGAGCCGUCGGUGUCCCCCCCAGCCUGGUGGCCGAGCUACAGGGCGCCCUGGACGCUUGCGCAGAGAGACAGAAGCAGCAGGAGCGGAGCCUCGGAGUCUGCCGGCGGCUGCUGCAGGCCUGGGAACCAGCGAGGACCUGGGCUCCAGAUCCACCUCCGGGGCCAGAAACUACCGAAGAGGACCUGACCCCAGCGCGCACCCCCAGCCCCCAGGACCUCAAAGGAGCUAGGAGCUCUUGACGCAGGCGCUGGAGAAGGCUGCACGCGUGCGAAGAAGUGUCUGCAGGGCCGGAGGAAGAGGCGAGGCCGCCGGCCUGACGCCCGGCUCUGCUGCCGCCUCCGCUGGCACCGCGGCGCCAGGGUCCGGCCAAGGUGGCCCAGGGCCCGCCAAGGGCAUCCGCCAGGCCAGGACGCCUGCCACGGACCACCCGGAGCUCAGGCCUCUGCCAGGCAGGGACAGGGCCGGUGUGGGGACAAGAGCCCGAGCCACCGAGCCUGGACGCAGCCUCAGAGACCAGCGAGUGGCCCCAUCGCCUGCCCCUCAGGCCCCGGGAGCCUUCACGCUGAAGGAGCAGGGGUAGGUUUCCCAGCCCCUCGCUGGAGGAAUGGCCGCGUUUGCCGGCUCCGAUCCCGGCCGGCCGCAGGAGGCUGAGGACCGGUGAGAGAGCAGCGCACUGAGCAGGACGCGGGCCCGGGGAGCCCUCGGCAGCGCCUGGUCAAGUGUGGGCUCAGGAGCUGCUGGCUGGACUUGACCUGCGGGAGGCUGGCCUCCUGCCCCGCCCCCAGGCCGGCCCAGGGGUCCUGGGGGCCCUGUCCCUGUCCCCAGGCCAUGCUGGGCUGAAGCCCGGUCCAGAGCCUGUGGAAGCGCGGGGGUGGGGGAGGCCUCGUGCUGACGGGGCUCUGAGCGGCGAGCCGGGCCACCCCGAACCCCCGCUUCUCUGCAGGAGGCUGCUGCGGCUGCCCGCGGCCCUCAGGAAGGCGGCGUCCCAGAACCAGCGGUGAGACGGUGGGGGCAGAGGGGAGGCCACGGGUGUGCCAGCAGCCUGGGGCCGCGCGGGCAAGGGUUUCCCCGGGGCCCUGCUGGUCUGCUGUGCGGGUCACUGUUCAGAGGUCACUUUCAGUCCC